GGAUGUUAGGGCAAUCUGGCUGCAACAUGUCACCCCACUGAUUGCCAGGGUUUAUUCAGCUUUUCUGGCUUGCUAGAUAGGUGUCCCCUUCCUCCCUCAUUGCUCCAUGUGUGUCCCUCUAGAAGCUGUGAGUUAGGAAGAAGAUAACCUUACCUAAUAGAGGAAGACCAUUCCCCUGUCAAGAAUAUAUGAGCAGCUGCAGCACCCUGCUAGAACUUCCAAACAAAAAUUCCUGGGUUUAAAUCCUGGCUUCACUACUUAUUAGCUCUGUAACCAUGGGCAAGUUACUCAAACUCUCAGUGCCUCUGUUUUCUUACAUGUAAAAAGGGGAUGAUA
rnacentral:snRNA from 1 species